rnacentral:precursor_RNA from 8 species
GUUGUCACAGAGUCAGGCUUGUUGAUGGACGUCUUACCAGACAUGGUUAGAUGUAAUAACUUGUGUCUAAUACUGUCUGGUAAUGCCGUCCAUCACAUGCUAAUGCCGUCAUGGUCCUU